GGCAAGAUUUGGCGCCAAUUUGUUGAACGAGAUCUUCGCGGGCAAAUCUUCCAUACACGAAUCCGUUUCUUCUUCUUCUUCUUCUUAUUCCGUAUCCUUCAAACCCUUCUGCUGCAACUACCGAACUCUGUAGCUUCUUUUCUUUCCGCUGGCUAUGAUAUUUCCAGAGCGGCGGAGAAUAAGGUUCCGGCCAGAGGAAAAGCAUUGGUUCCAGUGGGUUUGAGCGUCGCAGUUCCGGAGGGAUCGAAUGGCCGAAGUGAUGGCAAGGAUAGCUGGGCAAAUUUGAAUCACCACAUGUGGUGAUGGUUUUGACUUUUGGCCAAUUUUUUGGCAAAUCAUUUUAGCGAUGACGAAACGCGUUGGACGCAUCAAUUUGUGUUUGGCAUGCUAUAUUUGACUUGACAACCAUAACUUAAAGAUUACAAUCCCGUCGGAGAUGGCCCUAGCUGUUGCAUGCUCUACCAUGUUCUCUUUUGUAGCCCCUUUGGCUAGGCAAGCCUUUCCCCUCUCUCCUGCCA